AAAUUGGCUUUCACAAAUAAUCUAGGUCGUUCUCUCCCCACCCUCCCCUAUUCCUUAGGCUCCCACGCCGGCCGCCGCCCCUCACGGUUGCGACCAACCCGCAUCCUGGCGCGCGGCCCCUCUUCACUCCCCCGCGCUCCUCCAUCUCGGCGGCCGCCAGUACCACUCCCGUGUGACCCUACAGCCCGGUGCGCCGCCUCUCGUCACCACUCCCUGCAUGUGGUCCUCUCCUCCGUCCCGACACGCCGCCAACACCUCUCCCCAGCGACUCUGCAUCCCGGCGCGCCGCCCCUCGUCACCUCUCCCCUGUGACGAUUGGCGAAUCCAAGGUACGUAGUGAAGGUGGCAGCCAAAGAUUUUGAUUUUUGUAUCUGGUGUUCCUGCAUGAUGGUCUUGACUCUUGAGAGCUGAGAAGAUCUGUUUUGCUUAAGAAAAUUCUGUAGUUGUUUCUGCACCUGAGUUCAUGGUCAAGGUCUCAUGGAGUCCAAUGGAAUAAUGUUGGAAGCCCAUGGUGUCCAUUGAAUUUUGUUCACCUGCUACUAGCUGGAUUCCAAGCAUUGUAGGUCCUCCAGUGAGAAGUUGAUCAUACAUUGGGUAAAUAUCAUUGAAUUGCACAAGCAGUGCACAUUCCGGCCUACUGUGCUUAUAAAUUUAAUGCUUCACACCAUCUUCUUAAUGUUGUAUCCAUUUUGGAAGAAGCUUUGGUAGUUAUGAUACUGAUAUACUUGUGAUAGAUGAUUCAUGUAUGCUGCUACUUUAGUUUUCAAUGCAAUAAAAGGACCAACAUUUAUAUUCCUCUGAAUAAAGACAAUAUUUGUACAUGGUUUAUUGGUUCAAUUUUCAUAUCAUAAACAACUUUUGUUGGAGGAAAUUCUGAGUCUUGUUUUGCCCUGAUUGAUAACACUUCUCAGCACGCUUGCUUUCUAGGAAGAUUGAUUAUUUAUUCAUAUCUUGAAGUUUGAUAGAGUUGUC